rnacentral:rRNA from 1 species
GACGAACGCUAGCGGCGCGCUUAACACAUGCAAGCCGAGCGGAAAGGCCCUUCGGGGUACUCGAGCGGCGAACGGGUGAGUAACACGUGAGCAACCUACCCCUGGCUCUGGGAUAACCCCGGGAAACCGGGGCUAAUACCGGCUACCCACGCACCACCGCAUGACGGUGCGUGCAAAGUUUUUCGGCUGGGGAUGGGCUCGCGGCCUAUCAGCUAGUUGGUGAGGUAACGGCCCACCAAGGCUUCGACGGGUAGCCGGCCUGAGAGGGCGACCGGCCACACUGGGACUGAGAUACGGCCCAGACUCCUACGGGAGGCAGCAGUGGGGAAUAUUGCACAAUGGGCGAAAGCCUGAUGCAGCGACGCCGCGUGAGGGACGACGGCCUUCGGGUUGUAAACCUCUUUCGGCAGGGACGAAGCGAAAGUGACGGUACCUGCAGAAGAAGCUCCGGCCAACUACGUGCCAGCCGCCGCAGUAACAC